AACAAGGAUUCCCUUAGUAA
rnacentral:snRNA from 1 species